UACGAGGGGUCCUAGCGUUGUUCGGAAUCAUUGGGCGUAAAGCGGGUGUAGGCGGAUUAGCAAGUCAGAAGUGAAAGCCCUGGGCUCAACCCAGGAAGUGCUUUUGAAACUGCUAAUCUUGAGUGUGGAAGAGGGUAGUAGAAUUUCUGGUGUAGUGGUGAAAUACGUAGAUAUCAGAAGGAACACCGGUGGUGAAGACGGCUGCCUGGUCCAACACUGACGCUCAGACCCGAAAGCGUGGGGAGCAAACAGG
rnacentral:rRNA from 1 species